UAGAUACCCUAUUAUUUAAGACGUAAAUUUUAAAGGUUAGGGUAGUAUUAGAUAAGWUCUUGAAACCCAAAAAAUUUGGCGGUAUUUUAGACUAUUCAGAGGAACCUGUAGUGUAAUUGAUAAUCCACGAUGGACCUCACUUAAAUUUGUUUUUCAGUUUGUAUACCGCCGUUAUUUGAAAAUUUUAUAAGAAUUAUAAAUUUUCAUAAUUUUUUAUAAAAAARWAAAWCAGGUCAAGGUGCAGCUUAUAUUUAAGUAUUUWUGGGUUACAAUAAAUUUAUUUAGACGGAUUAAAAUAUGAAAUUUAAUUUUAUGAAGGUGGAUUUGAAAGUAAAUAUUUAAAGAUUAAAUUGUUGAUUUUAGCUCUAAAAUAUGCACAUAUCSCCCGUCGCUCUUGUUAAUAAUAUAAGAUAAGUCGUAACAUAGUAGAUGUACCGGAAGGUGUAUCUAGAAUGACAAUUUAAAGCUUAAUUUAGUAAAGUAUCUCAUUUACAUUGAGAUGAUUGUUGUGCAAAUCAAUAUAAAUUGAUAGUAUAUAAUUAUUAAUUAUUUUUUUUUUWUUAUUAUUAUUAUUAGAAAUAACUAUUUAUAUAGGUUUGAGUAUUUUAUAAAGAAAUAAUUUUAUUAAUUAUAGUGUAUUAAGUAAUUUAAUUGAACU
rnacentral:rRNA from 1 species